GCAGAUUUAAGUUAAGUUUAAACUAUUGGUCUUCAAAACUAAAAAUUUUAAUCUGUA
rnacentral:tRNA from 1 species